rnacentral:sRNA from 1 species
AAAAAAAUGACUACCGCAGACAGUAGGUGCUUAAGAGCAUAACGUACACAACCUACCGAGGAGAUAAUAACGAUAUGGUUAGACUCUUUCUGCGUGUGUAGUAAGAGCUUUUUUUAUUUA